rnacentral:rRNA from 1 species
UACGAAGGGGGCUAGCGUUGUUCGGAAUUACUGGGCGUAAAGCGCACGUAGGCGGAUUCGUAAGUCAGGGGUGAAAUCCCGGGGCUCAACCUCGGAACUGCCUUUGAUACUGCAAAUCUCGAGUCCGGAAGAGGUGAGUGGAAUUCCUAGUGUAGAGGUGAAAUUCGUAGAUAUUAGGAAGAACACCAGUGGCGAAGGCGGCUCACUGGUCCGGUACUGACGCUGAGGUGCGAAAGCGUGGGGAGCAAACAGG